rnacentral:ribozyme from 1 species
AGUUCAGCAACUCCUAUCCCUACCUCUUCGCGGUACUGGCCGAGGUAAGAGUAACCUUAGGGAAGAUUGGGUAACCAACCCUGUUGGAAACUCUGGUCGUAUGCUGACAGGGAAGA